rnacentral:lncRNA from 1 species
CGGGGUCCCGGGGGGCUCGGGGUCCCGGAGGGCAUGGCCCCCUCCCCCCUCUCUGGAUCCGCCUUUGCAACAGACUUUCUUAAUUGGGUUUUUUGGAAGAAAUAAAACUACUGAGCAACCCUUCUCUUUUCGGGAGGACUUCCUGAAGCGUGGAACCUCCAACAUCGCAGGCGAUGCAUCUGAAAUCUGAACAUCGACUGAACACCACCAACUACAACUGCAGGGACCUGAGGCCACAACAUCUAAGCCCAGGUCUGCAAUCAACCAGCAGCAAACAUCUAGAAGCUACCGACAGAUAAAAAGUGCCAUAAGUAUAAUCUGAACUGUCACCACACUCUCGGCGAAGUUACUGCGGCAAAGUUGACCGAAGUCCAAGUACCCAUCACUACACACUCGUUCAACUUCACGAGGAACACAUUCAAGCGGUGCGAUACCGACUUCGAUCCCUUUGACUCGGAUGCGUAAAACCGACAGAGAACGGAAGUAGAACGAAGCGAAGCAAAGUUGCAAGAAGUGGCUGUCUUCACUCUCGUACUUGCUUAACUUCGAUCAACUUCGCCGGGAGUAUGGUGCUCACUUUAGCUUUCGGCAAGGUCUUGAUAUCUUUGAUUUGAUAAUACAUUAUUUUAUUGUGUCUUUAACGAAAAAUAAACCUGAUUAGUUAA